UACGAAGGGGGCUAGCGUUGCUCGGAAUGACUGGGCGUAAAGAGCGCGUAGGCGGCUCAUACAGUCAGAUGUGAAAUUCCUGGGCUUAACCUGGGGGCUGCAUUUGAUACGUGUGGGCUUGAGUGGGGAAGAGGGUCGUGGAAUUCCCAGUGUAGAGGUGAAAUUCGUAGAUAUUGGGAAGAACACCGGUGGCGAAGGCGGCGACCUGGUCCUUGACUGACGCUGAGGCGCGAAAGCGUGGGGAGCAAACAGG
rnacentral:rRNA from 1 species